AAUAGAUACCCUGGUAGUCCACGCCGUAAACGAUGAGUGCUAAGUGUUAGGGGGUUUCCGCCCCUUAGUGCUGCAGCUAACGCAUUAAGCACUCCGCCUGGGGAGUACGGUCGCAAGACUGAAACUCAAAGGAAUUGACGGGGGGCCCGCACAAGCGGUGGAGCAUGUGGUUUAAUUCGAAGCAACGCGAAGAACCUUACCAGGUCUUGACAUCUCAUUGACCGCUAUGGAGACAUAACUUUCCCUUCGGGGACAGUGGUGACAGGUGGUGCAUGGUUGUCGUCAGCUCGUGUCGUGAGAUGUUGGGUUAAGUCCCGCAACGAGCGCAACCCUUGUUCUUAGUUGCCAUCAUUUAGUUGGGCACUCUAAGGAGACUGCCGGUGACAAACCGGAGGAAGGUGGGGAUGACGUCAAAUCAUCAUGCCCCUUAUGACCUGGGCUACACACGUGCUACAAUGGACGGUACAAACGGUUGCCAACCCGGCAGGGGGGAGCUAAUCCGGAUAAAACCGUUCUCAGUUCGGAUUGUAGGCUGCAACUCGCCUAC
rnacentral:rRNA from 1 species